UCAUUACUGGAAAAAGCGCCUGAAAAUGUGGAACAGCAAAAAACAGAAAUCGACACCGAAGAACCGGAAUACAAGGUCAAAGUGAUACUAGGAAAAUGAAGAGUUAAUAAUCAAGAGCAUUACCUAGUUAAGUGGAAAGGAUACGAUACCUCAGAGAAUACGUGGGAAUCUAAAGGAAACCUCACAAAUGCAUGGCAGCUGGUAAGGAAGUAUCAUCAAGAGAAUGGGACAAUGGUGGAUCCAGCAGAGCAAUGGCCUCGGGGCCAAGGGAACUGAAGGAAACAUUGAACAGAUCAUCCAUUUCCCAGGACAAGAGGAGUUGGUCAUUCAAAGCCUUCUCAUGUUUUUCUUUCUCUUCCUGCUCUUCUUUUUCCAACUCCUCCACAGUCAUCAUAUCAGACUGAAGGAAUUUACCAGCACGGGAAUGCAAUAAUUUCUUUUGUUUCUCUAAACAAUUUAACUGAGCGAACAAUUCGGAAACACGCGCAUGGGUCUCGGCUUCUUCACAUUCAAUGCAAUCAAUGGCAACUACCAACUUGUUCCAAUUCAGAUCUGAAGUCACAAACAAACAAGAAUGAUCUGAGCAAACACAUUCACUACAACAACAGGCAGUUUCUGAUGAAAUGACACAUUUCUUCCCAGAAAGAGAACAACGGUUGCAAGGGCGAGGCAUUUCAAAUCCAAGAAGAAGGAUACACUCUACCAAUCGACAUUUGUCAGCAGUGGAAUCGCGAAGACAAGGAGCCAUGAUGAACUAAACCAUCCUUAAGAAAUUUUGGGAAAACAACAACUCACAGAGAGACAAGCCUGAUAUUUAUAUGUCGGGAUGACUAUGUUAAAGAGGGGGGGAUAAUGUUAUGAACCUGCAAUGUAAUCUAAACGGAUCAUUGGUUAAGAAAGGGUUGUCGGAAGGAACCAGGAAACAACCCCGGAACAGAAACAAUCUAGGAUCCAGAUCAUGUGAUAAGAGGAUCACUUGGAUAGAUAGGAUAGACA
rnacentral:sRNA from 1 species